ensembl:lncRNA
CUUUGCUACUCCUUCUAUUCUGUGUGUGGUUUUGAAAACUUACACUAGUAAAAAUGCUGUAUCUGAAUGUAACUUCUUGCAGCACACCUUUCCAGACAGGGAAAAAAAAUGCCAAGAAAUUAACCAGGAGAUUUUGACAUGUGUCUUCUGAACAGCAAGCUAAUUCUCAGCUUCCACACUUUGUGCUAUUUGAAUUGCGCUUUGCAGUCACAUGCUUCAAGCUAAUUGCUCCCAUGCAAAGCCUGUAGGAAGCAGAAAAGCAAAGUUCCUGUGGCAUAGUGACUGUUCUGGAGAAUGCUGUCAGUGAAUUUUCCAUUGCUGGGCACAUAUAAUGAAUGAGAAAAAGUGCAGAGAGCCUAAAGGAUCCCAGGGUGCUUAUGAAUACUUUAAUUCAUUACUGGAAUGAAUUCUCUUUUCAAUAAAUUAUGAGCUUUGAGGAAUGGAUGAGCAGUUCCUUCCCUGCACUCCAGAACAUGAUGACUUGCAGCAAAUAUUUUUCGUCUGCAAUGGAGGGCACUGACAUCUGUCAGAGGGAAUUUUCGAUGAAGGGGACUGACCACUCACAGCAGGCAGUGAGCAGAGAAGAGGCAGAUGCAGCUCCAUCCCUGUGAGGUGCAUCCACUGGCAGUGUACUGCAAGACUGUGAAGAUGAAGUGAGGCCUAAAAGGUAACCUCUCUGUUGUGAAAACUGAGAGGAAAUAAAAAGAUGCAAGUUGCUAGUGCGUGUCCAAUCUGCCUGUAGUCCUUGGGAGGAUGACAAUUAUGUGAUACCCAGAAGAAGACAGAAUACAUUCAGGGUUUCUGGAUGUCUCCAGUAAUACAGGCUGAUGGAGAAAUGAGUUCCUCCUCCUGCUCUGCUUCUCACAUGCCACCACAAGAAAAGAUUGUCAUUUUCUGUUUGAACUGGACUUAUGUGACUUAGAUUAUAUCUGCCCAAUGUGUUGUGAAUUUGUUGAAGUGUGUUUAAAGACAUGUUGGCAUGUCCAGCUGUUAAAUGAAAAAUGUGUUUUACUGCCGCACUGUAGGGGAGCCUUAGAGAAGUGCAGUCAAUCUCAAUUAAUAUGAAAAGGAUCUAGCCAUGUGUAUACUGAAAAAGGUUUGCUUUCUGCCAUCAAAAUGCUCCCCAGCUGGAUAUUGUUAAUAAAUAAUUGUCUGGAUACACUUACUACCGUACAGUUCAAAAUAUUCACAUUUUAUGGGUAGUCAAACAAAUUAGGAAGCAGAAAAAUUGGAAGAUCUGAGUUACCAUUCCUGGAUAUUUCAAGACAUUUUAUGUAAACUGAUGAUACGAAAGAUGACUACUAUGGUUGUACAUGAAAUACUGAAGUUCUCUAGCUGCUGCCUGCUCUAAAGGGACUUCUCUGUUUAAAUCUACACAGAAUUUUCCUCAGAUUUCCUGGUUUGAGGGUUCAACACCUGAAUCUUUUGUUAUUUCUUUUUCUAAAAGUAUCUCUUGAUAUAAUGUAGUGAACUAUUGAUCCUAUUACUUAGAAACUCAUGUAAAAUCCUAUUAAAUGUUACUGCAGUGCAUUUUAUUUAGAUGAAGGCUGUGUAUCAUAGCACAACAAAUCUGUGUUUCCUUCAACUAUGAAAAAAUCUAACCAGUAAAAGGGAAGUAAUACACUUAAUAUUGAUCCACUUCAUUACAUUUUACACAUACAAACAUACAUUAUAAUUAUUUUCUAGGCCCUUUUUGUUGUGCAAAUUCUUUUCAUCACAGCUAGGAUAUCCAAAGAUGCUUAAAGAACUUGGAUGCUCAAAUUCCAUUUGUUUUUCUCCACUUGCUUCUGCUUACUGCAGAAUUUUUGCAGUGGAGAGAAGUCUGGGAAAUGUUUAACAGAGAGCUCACCUCCAAAAUAUUAUGCUCACUUUUUUUCUUCUCUUAGAUUCCAGGAGUUCAGAGCAUGGAAGGAAUUUGUGCUUAGUUGAUGUUUCCAAGGUUUUUGUCUGAAAGACUUGAGCAAUUCCUCCCUUCUUAGUAUUCCAGGACUUUCUUUUGGUUGAACUAACUUUCUAGCUGGCGAUUUAAGAUCAGUUCUGUGAGUCACCCCGAAUCCACUCUUGAGCCUCAGUAUCUAAGAUGGAAAUUAAAAGUAAAAGCCUGAUUUUAUCAGCUGAAAUCAGAACUCAGAGUGGUUUUAAUUCCAACUCAAAAGUUCAAAUUAAAAUCAGGUCCAGACACAGGCAUUUGAGUUAUAAACACUUCUUCAUCUGUAACCUAACAGAUCUUUUGAGGAGAUGAAAAGGUCUUAUGAAAGACAGGCCUAAGCUUAGCUAAAUGGUCAAGCAAAAUAUUGUAAGAUGGCCCUACAUGUACAGUCUGAGCUAUGGCUUUUGUUCUAACAUAUCAAAAUAGUAUUUACAAUCAGCUGCACAGCCGUAGGCUAGUUAGCUUUCUUGUGCUGCUAAGUAAGCUGGGCUAGGACUCUUCCAGUAAAAACUGAAAGGAUGGUUUAGAAAAUGAAUAAUAGCAAGGAACAGUGAUCCACUCCAGUCCUGUCCACAACAAUCCCACUCUACAUAUAUCCUCUGGUAAUUUAAAAAUAUGUUGUGUGAUUUCUGGUGAAAUAUUCUGUUUGACUGUAGAUAGGCUGUAGAUAUAGGUUUUUCCACAGAGUCAUCUGGCUCACACGGCUUGGUAUGAACAAUAUAGUUAAAUGUAAGAACCUGGAUCAUAGAAUAGUAGAAUAUCCCGUGUUGAAAGAGAUGCAUAUGUCCAACUCCUAAAGUCAAGGCAGAGAGGAAGCCCUGCAAAUGGAGGACUGAGAAAAUGUAGUAACAACAAAAAGCCUCAAGGGAAUGGCAGAUAAUGAUCUGAGGCUUAGUUAUUAAAAAUAAAAUGUAUGAUCACAUUAUGUAUGAUGUAUUGUAAUACGUAUAUAUAAAAUAUAACAUGUAUAUAUGUAUGCAUAAUAUGUAUAUAUAUGUAUAUAUACAACACAAUAUAUAUAUAUAUAAUAUGUAUAUAUAAUGUACGAUCAUAUUAUGAUUACAUAUCUCUGUACGUGGACACAGUAUAUUGUCACUCACUAUCAGUGCCAGGUUAAAGACUAAGGUUCCUUAGAAACUGGACUGUAGCUUAUACAGAACUGUGUUGUGCCCCAUGGAUACACCCUACAGAUGAGGUUCAUUACAGGCAGUAAACUGCUUAAGCUAUUUAAUUGAAAUGUGCUUUUUGCUGUAGUUAGGUAAUGACCUGUUGUUCUGAAUCAGCCACCCACAGGAAAUGAAACAGUUGAGUUAUCCACUUGGAGAUGGAGCCUUGAUGUCGCUAUCACCUUGGAGAUAAUACUGCAGUGGUCAGGGUGCAAGAAUAGGACAUCAUACUUUAGGGUUAAAUAAUUUUUGUGAAAGCACAGUAACUUUAGAAUAGGAGAACAUUCUGGUCAUGGCAUUGCACACCUGAGUUGUAGUAAUGCUUCUACUCACAGAAUGGUUAAAACUGGAAGAGAUUUCUGAAGAUCCUGUGUUUCAUUCCUCCUGCUCAAGCAGAGACAACUUGAGCAGGUUGCCCACGAACAUGUACAGGUGGCUUUUGAUGGUGUUAAAGGAAAAUGACUCCAUAGCUUCCCUGGGUAACCUAUGCCAGUGCUCCGUCACCUGCACAAUAAAGAAGUAGUUCCUGAUGUUUAUAUGGAAUGUCUUAUGUUCCAAUUUUUGCCCAUUGCCUCGUGUCCUGACACUGAAAAGAGCUUCACUCUAUCUUAAUUGCACACCGUCUCAAGAUAUUUUAUAAACAUUGAUAAGUUACCCCCAGAAACUCCUCCAGGCUGAAGAGUCCCAGCUCUCAGACUCUCUUCAUAGGAGGAGUGCUCGAUCAUCUUGGCAGUUAUGCUGAACAUUUUCCAGUACAUCCAGGUCUCUCCUGUACUGGGACCUCAGAACAGAAUUCCACAUGCAACCUCACCAAAGCAGAGGUGAAGGAUCACCUCUCUUGACCUGCUGACAAUACUUUGCCUAAUGCAAACAAGAAUACCACUAGCACUGUUAGUGACAAGGACUACUAUUAACCUCUAGGGUACUCCACUCAUUGUUGGCCUCUAAUAGAUUUUGCACCAGUGACCAUUUCUCUCUGCAUCUGGACAUUCAACUACACGUAGUUAAGCUCAUAUAUAAUCCUCUGUCAGGGAGAGUAAGCAGGGCCUUAUAAUGUUAGUAAGAACACUCAAUCAAAAAUACUUUUUACUCAUAGGUCCAGGGCUUCGAUGUGAAGCAUCUUUGCUUGUGAGUUCCAGGCCAUGAGGGACACCAAGGUAUAGACUCUGCUGAGCUCUGCUGAGGGUAGAACCCUGGCAGGAGCUUCUUGGGCUGCUGCAGACCAAGUCAGAGAAGAAGAGCUCACGUGGGCUAAGACACAACUUUCUUAACUGAUUUAAAUUUUAGACUCCAAUGUUCUAUUUUUUAUUAGCCCACAGAUUAUAUUAGUCCAUGUUAAAGAAAGGUCUUUGAAACAUAGAGGCUUAAACAAAUAUCUUUGAGAGAAAUGAAAGAUUUCCUUGGAUAUAUGUGCUUGUUUAGCUGAAUUUUACACAUGAAAUACACAUGCACUGGACUUGGUCUGCAAUGGUUUAUUGCCCAUCUUGGUCUGCAAUGGUUUAUACCUAUCUAGCAGCAAAAUGUUAUUGUUCAGUGAGAUUAUUCUGACUGAUAACCAGAGUUUUAAAAGCAAUAACAAGGAAUUAGUAUGUUAUUGUAGAAGAAAAGUUUUAACUUUGCAAGGCAGGAAAAUUCUUAUCUUGCAGAAAAGUCUAUACAUAAUUCUGCACCUGUCAAGAAACAAAUUCAAAAUUCAGUUGAUUUUAACAGUAAGCUUUCAGAUUUUGAAAAAGGGAUUUUGUUUUACUAAAUAUUUGUCUCAGAAAUAUGCAGCUAAAGAAGAAUUAAGGGAACAGUUUGUGUGUGUUGCUUCUCUGCACCAAACAGAAGAGCAUAUCUGCUUUACUUUUUCUCAAGGUUUCCUAUCACAAACAUUCAUUGUGUAAAGUGAGCUCUGACACUAGUUGUGUUCUUUCUGAUUAAUUUAGAUACUGUUAAUACUGCUAUUGUUGUUUUUAUGUAUAGCUUCUGUAUAUGAAGUCCUAUAAAUGUAUAGGACUGUGAAAAAAACAUGGGCCAUUUCUCUAUGGUUUAGUGUAUGAAAGGAAAUGGUCUCAUAUCUUUGUUAAGAAAAAAAUGUCAUUGAAAGCAAAUAAAAAACUAGAAUCUCUCACAAGGGGCACAUUUAAUUUUGGAAAUUAACAAGUGAAAGCCAAAAUUAUAUUUGAAAAUGCUCAGUUUAAUUAAUGUCAGUUUUACCUAUUCAUAUGCAGCAAAAAUUUUGACUAUUUUGGAAAUAGUUAUUACCAAUAAACAAAAAUUUUAAUAUUAUGCUAUUCCAACUUAUCCAUGGCCCUUUUAUUAUUAUGAGUGUUACUGAUUAAAAAUGUGAGGCAGAAACAUGAUAUAGGUAUAUGACCUUGAUUUUAAUGCCAUACAUUUUGAAUAUAGAUUAGUCAUCUCAGCAUUUACAAAUCAGGCUGAAGUUUGACAUAUUCAUAAAACAACAAACAAGUAGAGAAUUGAUUCAUAGAAGUUGUGGGCAAUUAAUACACAUAGAAAUGAGAAAAUGAAGAAUAGGUAUUUUACUGUGAAUAAGUCUCCUACAGUAAAGUCUGAUAAAACACAUAGACAUUUUGUGUAGAGAUGUUUUUUGUUUCUUACUUUCUUUCUUUUUUUUUUUUUUUUGCUAUAUACUAGAUCUGAGAUUAUUAUUCCUGCAGGAAAAUUUAUAACCUACCUUCAACAAAAGUAAUGUCAUUCCAUAAAUUAAGUUCAAAUCAUAAUUUUCAUUCAGGCUAUGCUGUCUUUAACUGGUAAACUCCUGGCAGCCUCUGAGGAGUCUGCAGUGCUGCUGCCACAUUGCUUUUGACUUAAAGGAAAUAGCCAUGAAUCACUUUUAUUGAUGAUCAUGGUUGUGUAGCAUCUCUAUAGCUGCUGCCUUCAUAAAUGAGGGACAAAAGAGGGUACAUGUUUUGUGUCUUUUUAUCUUCUGCUAUUCAUGAAACUGAGUGAGAGGAAAGAGAACAACUGGAGUGAUUCUGUGGUAAGUGAAAGAGAUCUGGAUCACAUUUAAGUGAACAGAUAAAUCUUUGCAAACCACAGUAAAUGUUGAAUGUUUUACCAGUUCUUGGACUGUGAUUUCAAAACUUGUCUUUAAAAGGUUUAUUUUGUUUCAUAGGUCUUCUCAAAAUUAAUCUGGAUUAGAAAUUAAGCAAUUUAUGAUUUUAGUAGAUCUUCAAUUUACUCUAAAAGGAACAGUUCCUUGUUUUAUUCAGGAAUAUAUAAAUUACUAGCUGUGUUCGACAGUUAUAUAAAUGAUAGCAUUUUUUAUAGACUCACCUGUGAUGCUAAUUAGAAUUUAUCUGCUUAUUCUAUACAUGAAGAAGAAGUUACAAGCACGAAAGAAACUGUCACAGAACUGAAACCGUCUGAAUCUCUCAUUAACAGAUUCAUAAGUCAUAGUUCAUGGUCAUGCCAUAAUUCUGUUACAGGAUAGAAAACAAAACUGUCUAUCUAAUUUGUAACAGAUUUAUAUCUUCACUAACUUUGAAUGUAACAAUGCUGGCCAUAGGUGAUUUAUUUAUAUCAGAUUCAAAUGAUCAUACUCAUUUUCAUCUUUCCAGAUAAGGCAUAUAACAACUUAUACCUGUGAAAAUAUUCUUAACAUCUUCACUUAUUAAAACAAUGUAUACAACAUCAUCUUAUAUGUUUUUCCAGACUGGCUCAUUUUAUUGAAAUGAAUGGAAUUUUACUGUUGACAAAUGUAUGUUAAGACAAAUCCUUGUUAUAUAUUAAACAAGGGAAAUUUGACUUUGAGAAGGAAGGGCACAGUCAGAAUUAUGAUGAAUCUUUCAUCACGCUGUAUGAUAUUGUGCAUUUGUAUUUUGAU